UACGGGGGGGGCAAGCGUUGUUCGGAAUUACUGGGCGUAAAGGGCUCGUAGGCGGCCAACUAAGUCAGACGUGAAAUCCCUCGGCUUAACCGGGGAACUGCGUCUGAUACUGGAUGGCUAGAGUUUGGGAGAGGGAUGCGGAAUUCCAGGUGUAGCGGUGAAAUGCGUAGAUAUCUGGAGGAACACCGGUGGCGAAGGCGGCCACCUGGACGGUAACUGACGCUGAGACGCGAAAGCGUGGGGAGCAAACAGG
rnacentral:rRNA from 1 species